GGGGCUAUGUAGGGCUGCAGCUCGGAGGCGGGGCUGUCUCUUCGCCGGCUUUUGGCGCUGGCCUGAGGGCUACCGCACAGGGCCGUGAAGAAGGGAAUGGCUCUGCGCGACCUUUCGCCGCGAGAGGUUACAGGCCCUUCUGCUAUAGACUUCAGGACUCCUUCCCCUAAGAGCCAUUUGCCAGUGGCUGCACGUGCAGCCUGCAAGGGUGAGAAGGUGAGGACACAAGUCUGAUUAUGAAGGAACUGAGACAAAAUUAUCUUAUUUCUGUUAGUCUUUAGGAUUUAUAACAUCCAGGAUUGCUGUAUCAGGAGACUGAGGUUAAUUUUCUACGAUGCAGUUCUGAAGAAACAAUGAAUUUCUUUGGCAAAUGUUAAAAUUCAUUUGCAUUUUUGCUGCCUGCUUUUUUUCCCCCCUCCUUAUUCUCCUGAUAGACUAUAAAACAAGAGCCAUUGUUCAGGGUACCUUGUUGCUAGAUGCCAUCCAUGAGGAGAACUGAUCAGACUUGUUUUUUCUCAUUCCUCCUAAAAAUCUUCCAAGGCACCAUACCUUUAUUUAUAUGGACCUGCAGCGAUUAAGUAUUUUAGCAGUCUGCAAAUCUGAGAUGCUGGGACAAGAAUGAAUUGCAGCUGUUCAAAUUAUUGACCGCUUUGCUGAUACACUAUUUGGUUAAUACAGAGAUCCAUAAUGUUCUGAAGAUACAAAUAGUCCUGUUCCUGUAGUCACUAAAGUUACUCAAUAUUUUUAAUCAAAACCUUUUUUUUACUCUUUGGUUCUUUCAUGAAGCAACUGGUUUCAGUUGAGCUGAGCAUUAUUAAGCCUCACUUUGUUUUAAGGUACUUCAAAAUUGUUAUAUAAAUUGCCUUACACUCUUUUAUUAAAGAGAAGGAUGUGGCUGUUAUAUAUAAAUUGUACUUCCUAUAUCCUGUCACAAGCCUAAACCAGAAACCCCUAAAAGCAUUAGGUUUGCAGUUACCAUGCUGGAUGGAACUGAUUUUAAGAAACAGGCGUUCUUCAGUAUUACCAUUAUUUGCUUAAGAGACGACCUGGGAAUCCCAGUUUACCCUCCAAGCCAAGGCUAGGGAUGUGUCAAAACAGUAGUCCACUAAGAUAGAAAGAAAAAUACCCUCUGGCUUUGCUGUCACUGCUGAUAUGAAAGACAGAACAGUACACCUUUUCCUAAAAUAUAAAUGGUAAACCUUAGCAAAGUGUACAAAUGAAUCUUUAACCUCAUUAACUACUGCUGUAAAAUUGAAAAACAGAAAGGAGAGGGAAUUUUGUAUACCCAUGUGCCAUUGUGGCCAGUAGAAGUAAAAACUCUUUCAAUUCAGCAAAAAAACUAGUUCCUGAAUUGAGAAGUUUGCUUUCUUCCUGUUUAUGCUUUCCUUAAAAAGUCAAGGUACUGAUGUUAAUGUACAUCUCUCAGGUUUCCAGAAGAAUCCUGAUCAGCAGUGAGGUUACUGCUGUUGAUACUGCUGAGAGGUGUGAUAUGUUUUAGUGUAAACACUUCUAUGGGUUAAAAUACCAGUGUAGCAGUGUUGGAUGAGGUGUGAGCUAAUAAACCUCACAGUAAGGCUUCCUUGAGAUUCUGACACCCUGAAAUGUGCCAGGACAGGUGUCCAGUAACUGCCCUGGAGCUGGUCCUCUGGCCACGUAGGAACAGGGGCAGAGAAUUACCUUGAAUCUCUUUCUGCUUUUCUGUUACAUUUUUUUUUUUGUACGUUGUUUCAAGCAUCCAUCACGUAUAUCCUGGCUGAUCCUCACAAGGAAGGUGUCUGCUCUGUCUUACAAGACUCCGUAUGGAGUACUGCAUCCAUCAGGCCCUCAGCACAAGAAAGAUGGAGCUGUUGGAGCAGGUCCUGAGGAGGCCACGAAGAUGCUCAGACCUCUCCCUCCUAUGAAGAAAGGUUGAAGGAAUUGGACUUGUCUGGAGAUGAGAAUGCUCCAGGGACACCUCAUUGCAGCCUUCCAGUACUCAGAGGGAGCUUAUAAACAGGAGGGAGAGCAACUUCUUAGAUGAUCUAAUAGUGAUAGGUCAAGGGGGAAUGGCUUUAAAGUAAAAUAGGAGAAAAUUAGAUGAUAGGAAGAAAUUCUUUACUCAGAGGGUGGUGAGGCAUUGGCACAGGCUGCCCAGAGAAGCUGUGGAUGCCUCAUCCCUGGAGAUGUUCAAGGCCAGGUUGGAUGGGACCCUGGGUAGCCUGAGCUGGUGGGUGGCAACCUUGCCUGUAGCAGGUGGGUUGGAGUUCAGUGAUCUUUAAGAUCCCUUCCAACCUAAGCCAUUCUAUGUCUCACACAGGUAAUUUUACUGGAAGAUGCUUCCCUGGCUGGAAUAGGUUCAAGGCACAAGAUCAUUCACUGCUAUCCCCCACCCAGCCUCACAUGUUGAUAGUUGAGUAACUGUAACACAUGCUUAGCCUCAAGGGUUAUUACCAUCCUCCUCCCAGGAGUUUACCAUUCCAAUUACAUCCUAUUGCUAAUGUGGUAACCCAAUUUGAUGCAGGAACUGACUAUACUCCACAGAAGGCCUGCACAGCUCACAGAGGGAAGCUACAGCCUACUGAAGACUAGUGGUUCUCAGCCUUUAUUGAUCCACAGAUGCCUGCAUAUUUUCCCUUGGAAAUGUAAACACCUGCCUAAAAUGUAAGCCUCCAGUUUUUCAGUUACCUUACAGACCUCUUAAAUGUUGUCCAGGGACCACAAGGCGAAGGUCAGUACUUGAGAGUGAUCAUUAUGCAUACCCAGCAGGUAGCCUACAAUUUCAAAGUCUCUCACUUAGUCCCCCCCCCCCCUUUUUUUUUUUUUUUUUUUUUUUGCAGUAAAGGUACACAUUCAACUCUUCUUGGAAAGACUAGUUUCCACACCUCCCUCACCCCCCAGCUUCAUUCUCACAAACAUCAGGAGAUCUGGAGCACUUUCCCCACGCAUGGUUAAUCAGCUUUGCAUAUGAAAGAGGAUGCCAAAUGCCCCCAACUAUAGCUGUGUCCACAACCCAAAAACAUAUCCUAAUUCAGCAGCAAAACUAGGCAUAGACUCUAGUUCUUUGGUGUCAUGAUUUCUUGCAGUUUUUUUUUUUUCCAUUCAUUACAUAGACACUACAUGAAAUCGAAAUGUUUGUUGGACCAAGUCACUACAUCUCUUGAGUACUUUGGUGUUCUACUAUACAGAAACAAGAAACCAUGCACACAAAUUUAAUCUGUUGUACCUGAAAUGACGAUUGGACAGGUACCUAUCAUGUAGUUAGCGAAAUGUACAAAAAAUUUCAUUCUAUGUUCAGAACUGUACUAGUAAACUUGGGCAGCUUUCGGGUACAUUACCUGCAAAAUCCUAGACAAGAUAUAUAUCCUUUUGUUGAUAUAAAGAUGAUAAAAUAAUUGAUAAAAAUAUAGAAGACAAGCAGAAUCUCCUAGUUAUAUUCUAUAUUAUGAAGAAAAUUGGAUGAUGUAGACAAAUCUAUGAAGUAAUGAAUUAUUACCUAUUGCCAAUGAUAUUUAUGGAGAUGUUUAGUUCUACCCAUAAAACAUCCUGGAAUUUGCAUAGCUAGAAACUCACAAUCAAGAAUUUUGAAAGAAUUAUCUGGCAAGCAAAUGGAAACAAUGGGCUUUCCUUUCAAAACAACUUUGGAGUUUGAAUGUGUUCCAGAAGACCAGUAAAUACUUUCAUUUUAAAAGUAUUUGAAAAAUAAGAGGGAUCAUCUAGGUUGCUUAGAAGCCAGUUGACCUAAUGCUGACUUGGCAAAAUCAAAGUGUAAUCUAUUUGGGUUACAUUCAGCUAAGAAAGGAAACAUUACAGAAUUUGAUUUAAUUGAAUGAAAAAGAUCUCAUUAAAAGAAUUACAUAUCCUUCUGUGGCAAUGUAAAUUUGGUACUUCAAGAUCAAGGUCCAAGACUAAUAUAGCAAGACUUAGCAUCUAAGUACCAGACACCCUGGUCCUUUUGUAAAGGAAGAGAAAGGCAAUAGGUAAGUGCUACAUGAGGGAGCCAAGCCUUACUGGGAGACACCUAAACCUGCUCAAUUAAAUUUAGUUGUUUGGAAAGAUGAUUGAAGCUUGAUCACGGGCCUGUAACUCGUUAGAAAAAGAUUUUUGAUAGCAGAAGACUUUAAUGUACUGAACAGAGGCAUAAGACGACCUUAUGAGAAGAAAAAAAAGUAGAAGAGAUGGCAGUUUCAAUGGCAGUCAAAACCAGCAAAAUAAGGGACGUGGUUGAUCAACCAUAGGGCUUUAAAUUGUGCAAGUCUUAAAUUUUUCUUGAAGAUUUAUCUGAAUUGUAGACCAGCAAUACUAUCAUUAGUCAUGGCUGAGAUUCCAUUACCAUGUUGUGGGUGACUUUUCCAAAUGAUUUCCAGCCUACAUGAUGUUUCCUUUUAAAGCAAGGAAGAAUUUGCAGAAUCUAGCUAAGAAAUGACAACUGAUUCAGUAGAGGACAAGGAGUGCUGCCACAUUCCAGCAAAGGCUCAAGAUGCAAACUAACACAGAACUUCAGAAUCAAUACAAAGUCUUCUUGGGUACAGACAUACAGGAACAAAUGGAUUGGCAUUAUGAAGAAAAUAAAAAGUUAAAGAUUUCAGGAAGCUGAAGAGAAAGGACCACAGGAUCUUGUUAGAGAAUAUAACUCCUGAAAGCAGAAGUUAAAUAAUUGAACUGCUGGCAGCUUGAGAAUACAGCGCUAACAGAGCUGCACUAUGAAACUUGAGGCUUCUUCUCUAUAGUGGAUAAGUAUGUACAGAUGUUAUGUUUUGCAUCCUGCAUGUAGCUACUAUACUUUUUCAGUAACCCAUAGGCACUCCGAAUACGUUAAACAGCCUCAGAAAUUCGAAGAGGAAGACCUGAUAAAAACUCAACGAGUCAACAAUGAGAGUAAAGUAUUUUCCAUUAUUUCUACCCAGACUUCCGUUGCUGGUGUAAACAGAAACAAGAAAUUCAACUGACUGGGGAAAAAAAAAUAAUAAUAAAAGUCCAGGAAUAAAGUGGCACUUCUGAAACUCGGUGGGAAAGCACCUUAAUAAAAGGCAGUUUCUUCCUGUGUGAAAGUAAGUUACAGAAACAGCAGCAAACUGCACAAACACAAGCAGUACCUUUGAAAUAAUUGAUAACAAAAUAACUGUACAGCCUUAAAUACACAGACAUCCCUGUGCUUGGUAAUAGAUACCAAGAAGAGGAAGGAUUGAAGACAUAAGAAAACAACGCAUCGAACAAGGAAAGGUGAUCUCAAGCACCUUUAACACAAAACAAACAAAAACAACAACAAAAGACCUCACAACACUGCAAGAAAUUUUAACUUGCGAGACAUUCCCCGAGGAAUUCAAGCAGUCAGCCAAAUAUCCUUCCCAUUUUCAAAAUUAAUUUUCUUAAAACCAGACACUGCACCCAAAACAAGUCGAUUUCUCAGACUUCAACAUGAUCCAUACAAGACAUAAUAAUGUGAGUGCAAACUGGCAAUUCUGUCAUGUUCAUAUUGACUAUGGGCACGUGGAGGAGAGCUACAAGCAGUAAUAAACCUAUGCAGAGUCUGUGCUUCACAGAGCAAAUUUCCAAGGUGAGCAAACUCAGGAACUGAGUUGUCUGUAAUAAAAAAAAAAAAAUGUAAGGCAGGAAAAUGUGGAUGAAAACUAUUCUUUAAUUUAAAAAUUAUGAUAUGGCCAAAAACGUCCCAGUUCCACAAAGCUUUGGGUAAAAGCUUGUUCUGGGUUCACUGAGAAAGUCUGCGAGUGAGAAAAAACAACUGAAACAAGGGGGAAAAAAAAAAAAGAUAAAAGGCCAAAAUACAACACAUGGAAAAGAGGAAGCUCAGACAACAAACGAGAUAAAAAUAGAUAUUAUUAGAUAGAAAAAAAAAAAAACCUAGUAAGGAAAGAUUUGUGGCAA